GAUGAACGCUAGCUACAGGCUUAACACAUGCAAGUCGAGGGGAAACGAUAUUGGAAGCUUGCUUCCGAUAGGCGUCGACCGGCGCACGGGUGAGUAACGCGUAUCCAACCUGCCCAUCACUUGGGGAUAACCUUGCGAAAGUAAGACUAAUACCCAAUGACGUCUCUAGAAGACAUCUGAAGGAGAUUAAAGAUUUAUCGGUGAUGGAUGGGGAUGCGUCUGAUUAGCUUGUUGGCGGGGUAACGGCCCACCAAGGCGACGAUCAGUAGGGGUUCUGAGAGGAAGGUCCCCCACAUUGGAACUGAGACACGGUCCAAACUCCUACGGGAGGCAGCAGUGAGGAAUAUUGGUCAAUGGACGAGAGUCUGAACCAGCCAAGUAGCGUGCAGGAUGACGGCCCUAUGGGUUGUAAACUGCUUUUAUAAGGGAAUAAAGUGAGUCUCGUGAGACUUUUUGCAUGUACCUUAUGAAUAAGGACCGGCUAAUUCCGUGCCAGCAGCC
rnacentral:rRNA from 1 species